GGGAUGUAAUUCAGUGGUAGAAAGAUUACCUAGUAAGUGCAAGGCCCUGGAUUCAAUCCCCAGUACUGCCA
rnacentral:tRNA from 1 species